rnacentral:lncRNA from 1 species
UCGCCAGGCUUGACUAGCCACCUCUGGGAUCGACUGAGGGAAAGGCAGACUUGAAUUACUCAGAGAAUAAGCCAGUGGUUCUGUUUUAAUGCUCUGAGUCAGCAGCCUUUUAUAGCUCAAAUCAAGGUCAACAAGAUAUGUAGAGCACCUUCUCUGAGCACUAGCUGGAACACGGCGGCUCUUCUUUCUUCCACUCUGAGACAAGAACACAUGCGCUUUUCCUGUAAGUGUUGUCUCCCCAGUUAUUCUGGAGACCAUCCAGAAGAGAAUGAGAAUAAAGAAACCAACAGAAGAAAGAUAAAGAAGGAAGAAUAAAAGAUACCAAAAUGACAGUUAUCGCUUGCUUCGGAGCAGGAAGGAGAAUCCAGUCAUGGAAUAUUAUGGUGGUAAUUGCUUCCAACUGGAACCAGUUAUCAAAAUGUGGCAGGAAAAUCUGGCCUGGUGAAGAAAGAGAAGGUGGCGAAGCUGACUCAGUUCAAGUUCAAGAUCUGCUAUUAAUGUGCUGUCACUGAACACAAAUCAUUACAUUUCCCUGAGCUUCAGUUUUGUUUUUCAAAUUGGAAUAAUUGGAUAAUUAGAUCUCUAAAGCAUACAUCAUCAGUAGAAAAUGAGCAACUUCUCAUUUGGCCUAACACUUUGAGUGGGAAAAUAAACUCAUUUAUGUAUAGUGAUAUUCUACUACUCCCUUAUAGAGUAAACAGUUACGUAAAUGCAAGUCAUUUUGAUUUUUCACAGAAUAGGAUCCCUUUAAAAUAGAUCUAUAUCAAGUCUCAUCCACAAUUAUUUUCUCACAGCUCUGUAUUAUUUGACUGACACACUUUGAAAACAUAGUUUCCAGAGAUCUCACAUAUUUAUUUUAUAUUUAUCUCUUUAACAAGCUAGAAUUUAUACUGAUAUAUGAGAUAAGGCUAUUAGCAAAUUUAAUUUAAUUUUUCUACAGUUUUCAACCAGUUGUUCCCGUGCUAAAUAGUCCAUCCUUCUCCCAUUGAUUUAUUGUAUCAACUUAAUAAAUUUUUAUUUUAUUUUUGUUUCAUAAUAUGUAUACAUUGUGGAAUGGCUAAACAAAGCUAAUUAAUAUAUGCAUUGCCUCACAUAUUUAUCAUUUUGUGGUGAGAACAUUUCAAAUCUACUCUUCCAGCAAUUUUCAAGUAUAUAAUAAAUUGUUAUUAACAAUAAUCAUCAUGUUGUACAAUAGAUAACUAGAACUUAUUUCUCUUGUCAAUAAAAUUUUGCGUUCUUUGACCACCGCCUUUCUAAUUCCUGUCCACCCUCCUUCAGCCUUUUGCGACCAUCAUUCUACUCUCUGCUCUUAUGCUUUUUCUGAUUCCACAUAUAAGUGAGAUCAUGCAGUAUUUGUUUUUCUGUGCCUGGCUUAUUUCACUUAAUGUAUUGUCCUCCAGGUUCAUCCAUGUUGCAAAUUACAAGAUUCCUUUCUUUUUUAAGGCUGAAUAGUAUUCCACUGUGUAUAUACACUGCAUUUUCUUUAUCCAUUCAUCCAUUGAUGAACAUUUAGGUUGAUUCUGUAUCUUGGCUAUUGGGAAUAAUGCUGCAACGAACAUGAGCAGUUAUCUCUUUCACAUACUGAUUUUAUUUCCUUUAGAUAUAUACUCAGCAGCG